CAUAAUCAAGUUUUAUUUAAAAAAUUAUACCAAACAAAGUCUUAGAAUCUUUAUGUGAUAUGAACUCUUCUAAUUUUACUCAUGACUAAAGCCCAUUAUAAGAUGAUCCUAAUCCUACUUCCGGUAUGUCCCCUCUUAAUAAAAUUAUAUCUCAAUCAUCACUUAAUACAUCAAAAUUUAUAUGAAAUUAUCGGGGGGAAUCAAUUAUUCAAAUAAUAUAUUAAUUAAAUAUAUUUUUUAAGAAACAAAAAUAAAAGAUAAAUAUUGAUAAGUAAUUUGUCCCUUUCGUUGUCCUUGUCCGUAGUUUGUCACUUUUGCAUUUGGCAAAAUCCAUUUCUGUUCACAAAAGAACACGUGUCGCACGUUAAGCGGCUGUUUGCCGACACGUUUCGUUCUGUCGAUGAUUACGAGAUCAGACACUUUUUUUAAGACUUUUAAGAAAAGAGAUGAAAGAUGGAGAAGUAGUUGCAGCAGUUACGUGGAGAAGACACCGCCGCUGCUCUGUUUUUAGCAAAUUAAUGUCUUGCAUGUCAGUCCAUCUCAAAAUGUUGCCGAAGGCGAAUCUUAAAAGAUUUUGUUUCCCAUCCUAAUACGGCUUUUCGAUAUUUUGCUUUUAAAAUUUGAUCAGCCCCAUUUUGGUAAUUUCCUUUUUCUUUUUUCUUUUUUUUUAAAUUAAAGUAAUAAUAUAACUAUAAACUCUUAUAUAAAUUUUAUUUGUAUAAACUGAUAUGACAUAAUUUAAUUGGUUAAAUUAAAUAUUUCUUGAUCUACAUAAUUUAUUUUUAUUCAACCAAUGA
rnacentral:lncRNA from 1 species